AGGUAGGAAGUGACACAUAAAGAACAGGCCGCUCUCCUCCGGGAGCUUUUAGCACGCAGUGUUAAGGUAGAGAAAGAGACACCAGCUAUGUCUAAACUCGGCGUGUAUCUCAGCACCCCGUGACCCCAGGGCCAGGCAGGUGUUUGCCAUCAAGUGUGUGUUGCCUGAGACCCAGUCCCACAUGAAUACAAGCGAGCGAUGGAAAGAGUGGCGUGAGGUGGUAAUCACUCGGAAGUAUCCACACAUGAAGGUUACCUGCCCAAACACCUGAUAAAAUUGGCAUUGCGAGAAACUAGACUCCUCGUGGUAAAUAUACAGGCACAUUUCUAAUUAAAAAUAAAACUUUAAAAAUGGGUCUUAAUUGAUAACUUCAAAUUAAAGCGAUGUUCAUUGUCCAUUCAGGGUGUUACUUUGAGAUUUGUAAUGGUUUUAAAUGCCGGGGAAACGUAGAUGGUCUACUACCAGAGGUGGCAGCAAUUAAAUCAGAGCAACAAGCCUCGGAUGUUAACCUUCCCAGCUUGCUAGGCAAAGCCUCAGCUGCCGCGUUCACGCUUCCUAAACAAUUACAGGCCCUGAGGCUUCCGUCCGGAGGUAAAUAGCUGCUGGAAGUUGGUGUUGAGGGAGAUGUUGCAGCCAGCAGCCCUCUGACCACCCUGCAUCUUCAAGGAUACACUUUAUGAGAACUCUGAAAUCCACCUUCUAGUUCCUCUUCUGGAAGAUUCAGCAUCCCCAGGAACUCUAACCUGGCUUCUUCAUGUAUUUAAACAUACAGAAUCACUUCAACACCUUGUAAAGAAAGGUACUUGGACAUAAGUGAAAGCAGGGAGACAGCACCAGGCUCCAACACGUGGGAGAAUUCCAGGUGCCAACCAGCUUCCAGCAUCUCUUUUAAGUGUGAGAAGACAGUCAAGAGUCACCAGACCUCUGAGGAAAAGCUCCAACAUGAAAGACAACACAAAAAAAAGACAGAGAAAACAGCAACUCCAAAAAAGGCUAUUCACACAGAAGAAAAAUUGAUGCAAAAACCGAGGCACUGGAAAAAAAAAAUUGAGGCACUGAAUGACCAGUCAACUUAAAGAAGAUCAUAUAGCUGGUUACAAAUCCGGGAAGCAGUGGGUGGUAGGAAGGACAGCCACCAGAGGGGAGAGCAGCCCCACUACACAGUCAAUAUGAAUUUUGAAAACCAUCCAGAUCAUGCUUUGUAGCUGAACUGCAGGUGAAAUAUUCGUACAAAUAGCUCAGGUCUGAAAAUGUCAACAAACUUAUAGAAAAUAAACCUGUUUCCCUUUUAUUAUGUCUAUUUCUGUUUUCCCAGAACUACUCUGAGAAUUAAAAAGAACUUACAAGUUGAUAUAAUUGAUUCUCAUUAUCACAAUACUGCAUUAUGUAUAAGAGUAAAUCCUAAUAGAUCACUGACCAUUGCUUGGAACCAUUACAACUUGUUACUGCAGCUGUAUCUCACCAGGUAAACCAUAUUGCAGGAUUCUUUGCAUCACAAACUGAUUUCUUUUGCGUAGUUUAUUUCUGAGAUUUAAAAUUAGGAUUCAUACCUUUGUAUGUCAAGCUACAAAAAGAAAAAGACAUACCUCAAUUAUCGACGAUUGUGUUAGGGGUGUUGUAUUUUGGUUUAUUUUUCUUACAUUAAAAUUGAACUUUCACAUUAUUUUAAUCAAAGAUAAUCUUUAUGUCCUUGACAAACUAAAUAGUGGAAACAGUUCUUUCCAUUGUUGUUUUCGUUAAAAAAUAGA